rnacentral:rRNA from 1 species
GUGUCAGCAGCCGCGGUAAUACGGAGGAUGCAAGCGUUAUCCGGAAUGAUUGGGCGUAAAGCGUCCGCAGGUGGCUAUGUAAGUCUGCUGUUAAAGAGUGAGGCUCAACCUCAUAAGAGCAGUGGAAACUACAUAGCUAGAGUGCGUUCGGGGCAGAGGGAAUUCCUGGUGUAGCGGUGAAAUGCGUAGAUAUCAGGAAGAACACCGGUGGCGAAAGCGCUCUGCUAGGCCGCAACUGACACUGAGGGACGAAAGCUAGGGGAGCGAAUGGGAUUAGAUACCCCAGUAGUCC